ACAAAAUUAUUCGUUGGCAACAAAACAGAGAUGGAUAAUACUAAACCGUCUCUUUUUAACGUGCUCGCUCGGGCGACACUGCGUCGCGAGCGUUUCGGUUAUUGUACGGUCAAUGGGAACAACAUAGCAACUGCAGAGAUAACCGAGUCCGUGAUAAUAACACGACACGCCAGUGAUUAGUGAAUACUUGAGGCUGUUUAUUAUAUUUUAAUGACCACCUUUAUUAAUUAAUUAUAAUCACUGUCAAGUGCCAAUAGUGUAAAUCGAUAUCCGAUACCUACGUCAUAAUUUUAUACAUUGGAUUUGAGCUAUAACUAUAAUAAAAUUAUGCUUUUGUAUUCGUAACCCGAAGAAUUCGAUGUAAUUUGUUUUGUUUAAAUUUUCCUUGUCAGCGCUUUGCAUAAGACCGUGCAGGAGAUAUCGUGUGCGAAAAGCUUGAUGUGAUAUUAUAACAUGUUGAAAACUUAGCUGAGACAUCACCGCACUCUGAAGAGUUGAUUUUGAAUCUGCAUGCUCAGUUGGCCUGAAAAUAAAUAAUAAAAAUAAAAGAUUGCUCUCGUUGUUGCUUGCUGCUUGUUGCAACUUCAAAAGUUAAAAUAGGUUUAUCAUCAUCUUGUUUCGCUAAA